rnacentral:rRNA from 1 species
UUGUCCGGAAUCAUUGGGCGUAAAGGGCGCGUAGGUGGCCCGGUCAGUCUUUGGUGAAAGCGCGGGGCUCAACCCUGCGUCGGCCAGGGAUACUGCCGCGGCUCGAGCACUGUAGAGGCAGGCGGAAUUCCGGGUGCAGCGGUGGAAUGCGUAGAGAUCCGGAAGAACACCGGUGGCGAAGGCGGCCUGCUGGGCAGUUGCUGACACUGAGGCGCGACAGCGUGGGGAGCAAACAGG